AUUUUUUAAAGAUAAAAAUGUGAUAAGAAACUCAUACAGAAACUCAUAUCCAUGUGUUUGAACUAGUGCUGUCGAACGAUUAAUCGCAUCCAAAAAAGUUUUUGUUUACAUAAUAUAUGUGUGUACAGUGUAUAUUUAUUAUGUAUAUAUAAAUACACACACAUGCAUGUAUAUAUUUCAAUAAAAUAUGCUAUGUUUAUAUAUUAAAUAUAUUUAUAAUAUAAAUUAUAAAACAGAUAGUUCCAGUCCUUGAUUCUGAUUGGUUGAGCCGCAUUCUAAGAUGUUGUAAAUUGCUCUACAAACAUACACCUUUGUUUACGUCUGUGUGUUGCUCGGCAACCACUUUGAUGGAACCACAGCCAUUCCUGAGGAACUACAUUGUUUGGCGGAAGAAUAAUGUUUUUAUUAAUAUCAUUACACUUUAUGAUGUGUAAUGGGCUUAUUGCUUUAUUAUAUGAAUAUAAAUAUAUACAUGUAAAUACAUAUUCCUGAUGAUCAAGGAUCUCCUCAUAAGCAAUCCUGAGCUUGUAUAUCUAGAAAUGGCAUUCCUUCUGACAGCUUUCAAGAUUUAAUUCUAAACCAGUGAUGACUUCUCAACCUGCUGAAGCUUCUCUAGAUCUUUCUUUUCCUUCUGGGUUUUAGCAAUACUUUCAUCCCGUUGGCAAAGGUGUGCUCUGUACUUUGUCAUCCAGGCCCUAAAAAGCCACCGCAGAAUCGACUCCCAUCCUUCCAAGUUUCUUCUCAGGUCCAUUAGUUUCGAGCACUUCAAGCAUUGGCAACAUUUCUUUUCCUUCUUUAACAUCUCUUUCAUAUCAUGGAUAUCCGUUCUUUCAUGCUGUUUUCUGCUUGAUCAGCUGGUUACAGUACUUCUUCUCAGAAUCUGCAACCAUAUUUAGCUCCUGAGAAUGUAAAAAUGCAGUUCA
rnacentral:lncRNA from 1 species